ensembl:lncRNA
UUCAAAUUAAGCGGAAGUACUUAGGCGGGCGGAGCCAGGCUACCAUCAUGAGGCUUUGCACACAAAAUAAAUUUGUCCUCAGUGAGAACAAUGUUGACUGUAUUGCUAGUUAGGCUCCGCCUCUUUAAUCUAUUCCUAUCAAUCACAAACAACGGCUUUCGAGGCUUAAGUCCACAUGGGUGAUUCUGGCUCAACAGAUGCAGCCUAGGUAUCUACACUACUCCAGCUGAGAGUACAGGAUUCAACAGCCAAAUCCGACAUGAAGAACACAAAUAUUCUGGGCAUUGCAUGCAAAUGAGUGAUUUGACUUGCUCACGUAGAAAUCGUAUCAGGGAUUAGGCUAGAGAACAAUGAAUCCUAGGUUGGGCAGGUGUUGAUUACGGUCAAUGACUAAGUAUAGUAUUUUUUAAUAUCUCAAGCAAUUUACUGAAUCGGUUAUUGUCAGAGGGAAUGUCUUAUGCCAAGCAGCUUUAACAUAAAAAUAGCAGGAAACAAAACAACCCCAUUCCAUGAACUAGGCGUUACGAACGGGCCAAGAAAAAGUCUGUCCUUCCAGUUCUCUCACGUGCUGACAGGUGAGACCUAUGUGUUUACACAGAAGGCCUUUUGUGACUUUCGUUGGUCAGUCGUUUCACCCCUAUUAUGUCUUGACAAAGCACGUCAUGUCAUGGAAAACCCGCUGGGCCGUGUGUCACUAUCUAACUGUUGGCCACGACCCGCUGGGCCGUGUGUCACUAUCUAACUGUUAGCCACGACCCAGCGAGGUGAAGCUGCAGAGGGAUUAACCUUUCUUUUUAAGAUUUCAGUUGAAGGGGAACAUAAACUUGGUUAAUCUAUCAUAUCAUAAAACAUUUGGAAAACAUAAAGGUUGUGGUAUCAGACAAGUAUCAGACAGGACUUCUUUCGUCUGCUGUUCCGUCUCCACCCUUUUUCACAUUAAGCACAUGCUGCGUGAUGUGAGGCUGGGGGCAGAGAAAUGGCAGAGAAGGCCUGAACCUCUUCAUCCCUAUAUGACCCGGAUCCGGGUAAAUCCCCUAUCCUCCAAUUGUCAUGUCACACACCACUAGAAAGAGUAGAUUCUCAACUUUUUAUCUUCCACAACCAUUGAUAGUUAAACAAAAGACAAACAAGAUGGAAACAUGCAACAACGACAUGACUCCACUGACUCCAAUUCCAAACCAUAUCCUUCUGUGACACAUUUCGCCAAAUAAUAAAAUGGUCUUCAAUCAGAACACAUGUUCUUCAUUGCCAUCUGGUGCUGUAUAGUGAAAUUGAGAUUAUUUGGCUUGGUGUCAUUCAAUUAUAGUCGCACUGACCUUUCAAUAGAGGGGUCAAAUUGUAUAAUAGGUUCCCAAG